CUUGCAUGAAAAAAGAGUCGUGUACUAAAACGUGAGUGGAAAGCAGGUGGUCAAUUUAAUGACGGAAAAAGGUGACAGUAAAAAAUAUAUAUUUUUUUUAAAAAAGAAGUUAUUUUUUUCUAUUUAAAUUAUAAAUAUAAAAAAAUCAUUUUCUUGAUGAGACUUACAAUUAAUUAGUCGUGGUGUGCCUUUUCAUCCGUGUGGCCGUCUAUAAAUACGUGUACCUAUCUGAUUAUCAAGUUAGAAAUUGGAAUUACUCCUGUUCUAUUUCUUUGUUACAUAUCUCUGUGAUUUUGUGAAGGAGCUCUAGUUAGGAUGAGUGAGCCACCAAAGUAUGCAUAUCCUUACCCUGCUCAAGGUUAUUAUCAAGGUCCUCCAGUGAUGCCACCACCACAAUAUUAUACAGCUCCUCCCCCAAGAAGGGAUCCUGGCUUUCUUGAGGGAUGUCUGGCAGCUCUGUGUUGCUGUUUCCUUAUUGAUGAGUGUUGCUGCGACCCUUCCAUCCUCUUCAUCUGUUGAUAUUUUUAUUUUUAUCUCGUGUGAAGAUAUAUAAUAUUGUGUUAUUAUCUCAGAAUAAUAAUUCGUUGCUUCAAAGUUGAUGAAUCUGCAUAUUUUGUGUUUAAAAUUUUAGAGAGACUAAUCCUUCCAUCCUCUUCACCUCACCUAUUGGAUAAAAUAUUAUGAAGAAAAUCUCCUAUGAAGAUUGUUAUAUAUCCAAUUUUCUUCAUUUACAUUUUUUGAUGAUGUCCUUCAAGCGUAUCUAAUCUCGACGGUUAUCUCUUUUUUUUUUUUCGCGUGAUCAAGUUAAUUAAACCGGUGUCUUCAAUAACCUAUAAAUGUCUUUUAUUUAUUAAAUGUCAUGAAGGGAACUAGAAAUGAAGAAAUUUUUGGUUGAAAGUGCUUUUCUCCUUUACUGGACCUGUUUGACAUGAAUUCAAAUUACUCAGGCUAGUGAUUUCGAAUACUGAAUAAUCAAAAUAAACUUUAGGAAGGGAAUUAGAAAAGCUACAAAUUUUCAACUUUCGGUGAUAGAAUAAUUAUGUUGAAAGUGAAGACAAGUAGUACCCAGUAGUGUUGGGGUCCUCCAUGUCUCCAUCUGGUUUGAAUUUUCCAAAUGGACAAAGACCGAACCAGAAACACUACUUGUAUAAUUGUACAACUCGACUUUUUUGUAUCAAAAAUUAAUUUGAAUUCUUAAACAGAUGGAAAAUGUUUUCUAAUCAGAAAUGACAAAACAUUGAUGAAGGAGUGGGGUCUCUUUAAAUUAACGGGAGCGGCAUAACACAUGCCACUUUUUUCAAAUUGGUCUCUACUGUUCACUUCAUUUUUCCACUGCUAAAAAGAUAGGAAAGGCUGAUUUGAACCACGAAGUUAAUUAAAACCAUCAUUUACGUUAUGAAUCGUACUAGGGGGAAAACAAAGAAACAUAUAGAGGCGGAUCUAGAAUUAAACUUAGUGGGUUCGAUCUUCAAAAUUUUUAGUAUUAAGCUCAUUAUAUUUUUAAAAUUAGAGAGUUCUAUUUAACAUUUAUUGAAAUUUUAGUGAGUAAAUGUGCACCGGUGAUAGUUAAGUACAUUCAAUCUCCUUCAUUUACAGCUUUAUUCUGUCCUUCAAGCGCAUUUAAUUUCGAAAUUUGUCUUCUCUUUUGUUGUUUCCUUCUUAUGAAAUCACAAUCACGUUAUAACUUACAUUGGUGGCUUCAAUAACCUUAGGGGUCGAUUGGUUAAUUUCAUUAGGAAAAAAUUAGUUCCAUCCUGCAAUAAUACAAUGCUUGAUGUGAAGAGGUUAGGUUAAAAGUAAUUAAGGUAUCACUAACGCAACAAUUGGUUGGUUGUAUAAGAUAUAUCAUCACCGUAUUAGAAGUAAUGUAGUGCUAGCUUGGCCGAAAUCAGAGUACGUCUAUUUGUAAUAUAGAAAUAGGCCAAACCCAUCGACAGACAUCUGUGGUCGUCCACUUCUUUCACUUAAGCACCUAAAGUGGACCUUGUUUCAUUUAGACACCUCAGGUGGGCAAUUCUUAUUCCACUUAGACACUUUUUGCACCAGAUUUUUUAAAUCCCAAGCGCGUGUAUAUCAGUCGUCUCCUACGUGGAUUAAGUGACCAAUUACAUUGUACCAGGUCAUUUAAAUUUUGCCAGCUCAAUUAAAUUGUGUCAACUCAUUUGCCAACUCAUUUUAAUUAGCCACAUCAUUGUACACGCGGGCAAAUCAUCUAAGGACCAAAUUAGGGCUCAAAAUUACCCAUUUCCAUAUACACACUUCAGGUGCAAACGAUUAGGCGAUUUGCCACGAAAAUCGAGGUAAAAUUUUCGUCGAUUUCGUUCAAUAUCUUCUCCAUUUUCACUUAAUUCUUAGUUAAUAAUCACUCAUAAUGUUUUAUUUUCAUUUAUUUGCUGGUUUUAGUCUUGAAAUCGACCCUUUCGACUUUGUUCGUUUCAACUUCAUUUGCGACAUUGGAGAAAUUUAAGGUUCUACUGAACUUUUCUCGUGUUUGUAUGCUAUAUUGUGUUUAAAUUAGGGUCUUUUUGGUACGAAACAAGUUGUUAUCACUUUAUUUGUUUACCAAGAUUUAUUUGGUGAUUUUAGUGUUAAAGUUGGGUUUUUUUUUUGGGUAUUUCCUUGUUGCUUGUCUGUUGUGGGGUGUUGGGGAAUAUAAUGGACGACUAUUGUUACACCUCGGAAAUUUUUCCGUUGGUACGAAAGUGAAUGAACUAGUGAUGAAUAUGAGUGCAUGAUGUCCAUGAGCAAGAAACGACGUUUGAUGACCUUAGGCGAGAUUGCAAAGGUAUCUGAUGUGAAAUGAGAAAGUUGGCUAAGUUAAGAUGAGAUAUAAGGUGAGCAAUACAUGUGCAUGGACGUGGGUGAUUAAAAUGAGAAGUCUAAGAAAUAUGGGAAGUUGCAGAUUUGCAACUGCCCAGUGGUCGUAAAGUGCUAGGACGGACCGUAAAUUGGUAUAUGGUCUGUAAACUAGCAGGUCGUAAAUUGGCAUGCAAAACUUCAACUUUCUGCCAGUUGAGGAAAUGGCUAAAUACGACCUGGAGGACGGACCGUAAAGUGAUUUACGGCCCGUAAACCAUGGUCGUAAAUCACCAUGUUGCAGCCUUAAGUUUCUGGUUUUGAAUAUGGUUAAAGACGACCACGAAGGACGGUCCGUAAACUGGAAUACGGACCGUAAACCCCCAUGGACGACCACUGUGCACUUCAGUUCAGAUUUUGCAAGUCAUUAAAUAAAGGGACCAACACUUGUUUUAUUUCAUUUCAACAUUACACCACUUCUCUCUAAAACAUCUCUCUACAUUUAUUAUCCAAGUUUUCAAGGAUCGUAAGUCAUCAACAACAUAAAACAAAGUGAAUCAAGAGUAAGAACAUCAUGAAAGGUCAUCCAAGUCAAGAAAUCCAAAUGGAGAAAAACUAGGGUUUUGCUCAAAGUGGAGUAUUAUCAACUAAAGUUUGUUCCUACAACUUCUAAGGUAAGAUUCAUGAUAUUUAUAUGAUGUUUAAGAUAUUGGAGAGUUGAAAUGCAUGGAUUAUAGAAAAUAUGGUCAACUAGGUCAUGGAUGAUAAAUAGUGACAUUUUGAGGAAUAGUUUGAAUUGAAUCACGAAUGUUGUUGUGUGAUAUGAAUGUGUUAUAAAUGGUAUUAAAGAUCAUGAACUAGACACUUUAGACGGAUGAACGAAGUUGGGUGUUAUGACCUUGAAUAUGGAUGAAUUAGAAGCAAGUUGAGAAAUCUAGAUAAUGUGGAUAAUGUGAAUGACUAAUGGCCAUUGUUAUGAUAUUAAUGAAGGUAGAAACGCUAACAUUGGAAGAGGACGGGCAAGCGUAGAAUAGUCCGACGAAAAGGUGCACAGGGAGACAGACUUGAUCCAUAGCUGCCUAUUCAGAGAUUACAUAGAGAGCUCCAUUUCCUUCGGAGCUAUAUCUUUUAGGUACUCAUUCUUUUGUGUAUAUAAUUAUGGGCAUAGCGGGGUCCUGUCCCGCUAAUGUGAUAUGUUAUACUCUUAGAGGCUCGUAGACAUGUGUGUGUGUGGGUAGAUGUGUUUGGCCUUGUCGGCCUAUGUUUUGUAUAUCAUUUUGUCGGCCACGUUGGCCCAUGUACAUUGAUGUGGCAUAGAUGUCUAUGAUGUUAUCCAAGAUGAUUGUCAUCCAAUGGGACUAAUAUGAUUGACGACUAGAAUGCAUGAACUGAUUUAUGGAUCACCUAGAUAUUAUGUAAAGCAUGUCAAGGGGGGUGCCCGGGUGAGGAUAACACCGGGUGCUCGUCGCGGCCCUUAGUCGGGUCGUGACAACUAUAUUCUUACUUGUUUUCACCAUGGGGUACAGUUGUGGAAGACCCUGUAGUGGGUCCCACAUACAAAGGGGAAUUAGAGGUCUUUGGUGCUGCUAUCGAUAAAGACCAUUUUAGUCUUAUUGAGUUGGAAGCAUACACUAAAGAUCUUGGGUACACAAAUGUCCUUGGAUUCUACUGCAAAAAGGUUGAUGACAGUGCAUUUGUUCACCUUACUUCUGAUAAACAAUUACUAGGGCUUUUGAAUGACUUAAAACAUGGUGAUGAUGAGUUUGAUGUGUUUUUGGUCCAUGGCAUUGAUGAGGUGGAGGAGUUGCCACAACCAAUUGGUUUGUUGGUAGGGCCAGAGAGUGAUGACUGUAUUAACCCAUGUGUCACUGAUGAAGCUAGGGCAACACAUGUGGGUGGGAGGGGUAUAAAUACUAAUGUAAAUGUUCCAGAUGGGGCUGAAACAUUUCCAAAUGAGGCUGAAACACUUCCAAAGGAGGCUAAAACAUUUCCAAUUCCAAAUGUGGGUGAAACAAAUCCAAAUGGGGGUGAAACAGAUCUGAAUGGUGGUGAAAAAGAUCUGAAUGUUGCUGAAACAAUUCUAAAUGGUGCUGAAACUGAUCUGAAUGAUGGUGAAACAAUUCUGAAUAGGGCUGCAACAAAUAGGGAUCAAUCAGAUGUUGCUAGUAGUUCUGAAUAAGAUGUUCCAGAUCUUGAUGAUUCAGAUGUUGAUGAAGAAUUGAGAAACCUUAGAGCUAAAAAGAAGAGUAAAAGGAACCCCAAUCCUAGAAAAAAAAAGUAACACAGAGGAAAAACCACUAGGUGAAGCUGGUAUUGAUAGAGGCUUUGAAGAUAUUAGUAGAAAUAAGUCUACUAGAUAUGUGGGAAGAUUAGGUGGACAUGAGGAUUAUAUUGACAGUUCAGAUUGUGGUAGUGAUGACAGUGAUGAUGAGUUAGAUGCUGAUGCUGUAAGGGGUAUUGAUCUACCAGCAAGAAGGAAGAGCACAAAGGUCAGGUAUGAUCCAGCUUGUGUAGUUGCUAUUAUUGAACUUGGUAUGGUUUUUGAAAAUGAAAAAGUAUUUAGGAAAGCAUUGGCUGAUUAUGCAAUAGAAUACAAAGUUACUCUUAAGUUAAAGCCUAAUCAACCUGGUAAAGUAAAGGCUAAGUGUAAGGGUAACAAACAGUGCAAGUGGUUGUGUUAUGCUGAAAUAGAUAGAGAUUCUGGUGACUUUAUGAUUAAGGGCUACCAUCUUGUACAUAAGUGUACAACUUCUAACAAGAACAAAAUGUGCAACACUAAAUGGCUUGCUGCUAGAUUUAAGGAUGAUAUAAUUAAGUAACCAUCUUUGAGAAUAUGAGAAAUACAAGACAUAUGCAGGGUUAAGUUAGGACUUUAUGUUGGUAGGACAAUUUGCUACAGAGCAAAGAUGCAGAUACUAAGAGAGUCUAUAGGUGAUUGGAAUUUAGAGUUUGCAAGAUUGUGUGACUAUGCUGAUAUUAUAAAAUAGAAAAAUCCUGGUAGUUUUGUUUGGGUGAGGAUGGACAGAGAAAGUUGUCCAGGAAAGAAUUUGUUUGUGUACUUCUAUGUCUGCUUGGAUGCAUUGAAGAAGGGGUAGAUGGAAGGUUGUAGGAGAAUCAUAGGUUUUGAUGGGUGUUUUCUAAAGGGUGCUUGUAAAGGUGAACUGCUAGUAGCAGUUGGCAAGAAUGGAAAUAAUCAAAUGUUUCCUAUAGCCUGAGCAGUUGUUGACUCAGAGACUAAGCAUAAUUGGAGUUUCUUCAUUAAUUACUUGAAAGAGGAUCUACAGUUGGGUACUGGAGAGGGUCUUACUGUGAUGGCAGACAUGCAAAAGGGUUUUCAUGCAGCUGUAGAAGAAUUGUUACCCAAUGCUGAGCAUAGGAGAUGUGCCAGACACUUCUGGUCCAAUUGGCAUCAAGAAUGGAAGGGUGAAGAGAGAAGAAAAUAAUUUUACAGAUGUUCUAAGGCCAGUUCUGAAGUGAAGUUCAGGUCGGAGCUUGAUAAAAUGAGCAAACUUGGUGUUGUCAGGUGAAGAAGCACCUAGCCAAAGUUCACAAGACCCUGAUGAGUCUUCAAGGCAAGCUGCACCAAAAAGGCCAAGGCAAACUGCACCAAAAAGGCCAAGGCAAACUGCACCAACAAGGUCAAGCCAACCUGCACCUUCAACUCCAAGGCAAACUGCACCAACAAGCUCAAUCCAGCCUGCACCUUUAACUUCUGUACCAGUUUCACCUACAAGCUCAAGCCAGCCUACACAUUCAACAGCAGUUUGUGAUGAUACAACUAGAGUUAGGAGGGUGAAUCAAUCAAAAAGAGUUAGAAGCUCAAGCCAGCCAGCCCCACCUACAGAUAUAAGUAUUCCUAUUGCAAGAGGAAUAACAAGUCAACUACCUCUUAGAAGAAGACAAGUUGCUGGACAAAAGAGAGCCAAGGUUGCAACUGGAGAGAAACCUGCAAGUAGGGGACACAAGAGGGCAGCUGAUGUUGGAUUUGGAAUAUACACAAGUACAAGUGGAGCUCAAAUACUAAAUCUAGGAACAUCAAGCCAAAGGAUUCUAGAAACUGGUUCAGCUUACAAGGAUGCAAGUCCAACAGGCAUAGACCUUGGUUAUAAAGCUAAAUGAUUGAGAUGGAAAAACAAGGAAGCUGUCACUGGCCCCCAAUUGAAGCAAAUGGCAAACAACAAGAAGAAGAAGAAUUGGCAGUAUUAGGAUAUGCUCUAGUACUUAAUUGGUAAUGUAAUAUGGCACCAAAUAAUUUCUGUUUUUGGAUGGUUAUUUUGGCAAUCUGCUACUUGAAUGUAGCAGUAAACAAUUUGCGGUAUUUUAAUGUUUGCUUUUGGCUACUUGUAUGCUAACUUUGAGCUCAUUCUUGAGCAUGUUAAUAUAUUGGCUACUAUUUGGGGCU